AACGAACGCUGGCGGCGCGCCUAAUACAUGCAAGUCGAGCGAGAAGACGUAGCAAUACGUUUGUAAAGCGGCGAACGGGUGAGGAAUACAUGGGUAACCUACCCUCGAGUGGGGAAUAACUAGCCGAAAGGUUAGCUAAUACCGCGUACGCUCCUUGGACCUCGGUUCAGGGAGGAAAGCGAUACCGUGGGUAUCGCGCUCUUGGAUGGGCUCAUGUCCUAUCAGCUUGUUGGUGAGGAACGGCUCACCAAGGCUUCGACGGGUAGCUGGUCUGAGAGGACGAUCAGCCACACUGGCACUGCGACACGGGCCAGACUCCUACGGGAGGCAGCAGUAAGGAAUAUUGCGCAAUGGGCGAAAGCCUGACGCAGCGACGCCGCGUGGGGGA
rnacentral:rRNA from 1 species